AGGUGAGGAUACAAUUAAAAGUGGUGAUUACCAAAAGGACAAAAAGAAGGUGGGGAACAAGGGAGAUAUGUGCUUAAUCGAGAGUUUCUUUCUAAUUUCAAAAAGAGUAGAGACUAAUCAACAAAUGCUGGACCCUAGGAAUAGACGACGUUUCGACAUCGGAUUUGUCACUCACAGCUAGGACACACAACACAGUUCCCCUUCCAUUCUCUUGUUUAUCCACUUUGAAAAGAUUACCUUCUUUUUCUUUCCUGUGGCAUUAUUGAGUGGAGAGAGAGAGAGAAAUAGAUUGAGAGUACUUAACUGAUGACACUAGACAUCAGGGAGCAGAUAUGAUCUCCAAUUGAUCUUUGUUUCUUGAUUCCCCAAG